rnacentral:rRNA from 1 species
GUCUACAGCCAUGCCACCCUGAACAAGCCCUAUCCCUCCUGAUCUAGGAAGCUAAGCAGGGUCGGGCCUGGUUAGUACUUGGAUGGGAGACCACUUAGGAAUAUUGGGUGCUGUAGGCG